UGAGCUGUAGUUCCGUGGCCCUAUAGCCAGGUUCCGGCUGUAUCCGCUGCCAUCCUCCUCCAGGCGCGGCCUCGGAGGGCCUCCUGCUCCUCCUGGCGCUAGGAGAGCCCCACUCGGUGUGGCACGGAGACACUGAGCCGAAAGGAAAGAAGGCCAAGGGAAAGAAGGUGGCUCCGGCCCCAGCUGUCGUGAAGAAGCAGGAGGCUAAGAAAGUGGUGAAUCCCCUGUUUGAGAAAAGGCCUAAGAAUUUUGGCAUUGGACAGGACAUCCAGCCCAAAAGAGACCUCACCCGCUUUGUGAAAUGGCCCCGCUAUAUCAGGUUGCAGCGGCAGAGAGCCAUCCUCUAUAAGCGGCUGAAAGUGCCUCCUGCGAUUAACCAGUUCACCCAGGCCCUGGACCGCCAAACAGCUACUCAGCUGCUUAAGCUGGCCCACAAGUACAGACCAGAGACAAAGCAAGAGAAGAAGCAGAGACUGUUGGCCCGGGCCGAGAAGAAAGCUGCUGGCAAAGGGGACGUCCCGACGAAGAGACCACCUGUCCUUCGAGCAGGAGUUAACACCGUCACCACCUUGGUGGAGAACAAGAAAGCUCAGCUGGUGGUGAUUGCACACGACGUGGAUCCCAUCGAGCUGGUUGUCUUCUUGCCUGCCCUGUGUCGUAAAAUGGGGGUCCCUUACUGCAUUAUCAAGGGGAAGGCAAGACUGGGACGUCUAGUCCACAGGAAGACCUGCACCACUGUCGCCUUCACACAGGUGAACUCGGAAGACAAAGGCACUUUGGCUAAGCUGGUGGAAGCUAUCAGGACCAAUUACAAUGACAGAUACGAUGAGAUCCGCCGUCACUGGGGUGGCAAUGUCCUGGGUCCUAAGUCUGUGGCUCGUAUCGCCAAGCUCGAAAAGGCAAAGGCUAAAGAACUUGCCACUAAACUGGGUUAAAUGUAC
rnacentral:sRNA from 1 species